rnacentral:tRNA from 1 species
GGGCGGUUAGCUCAGUUGGUUAGAGCGUCUGGUUUACACCCAGAAGGUCGCGUGUUCGACCCACGCACCGCCCACCA